GUCGAUGAGGUGUUGUGGGCAUAACAAUUUUUCGUGUUGUAGGCAGUAUUUUUAUGUACUUUUCGAUA
rnacentral:tRNA from 1 species